rnacentral:rRNA from 1 species
CCUACGGGUGGCAGCAGUGAGGAAUAUUGGUCAAUGGACGAGAGUCUGAACCAGCCAAGUAGCGUGAAGGAUGACUGCCCUAUGGGUUGUAAACUUCUGUUAUAAAGGAAUAAAACGAGGAACGUGUGCCAUUUUGAAUGUACUUUAUGAAGAAGGAUCGGCGAACUCCGUGCAAGCAGCCGCGGUAAUACGGAGGAGCAGAGCGUUAUCGGGAUUUAUUGGGUUUAAAGGGAGCGUAGAUGGGUUGUAAAGUCAGUUGUGAAAGUUUGCGGCUCAACCGUAAAAUUGCAAUUGAUACUGGCAGUCUUGAGUACAGUUGAGGUAGGCGGAAUUCGUGGUGUAGCGGUGAAAUGCUUAGAUAUCACGAAGAACACCGAUUGCGAAGGCAGCUUACUAAACUGUGACUGACGUUGAUGCUCGAAAGUGUGGGUAUCAAACAGGAUUAGAUACCCUAGUAGUC